AGCGAACGCUGGCGGCAGGCCUAACACAUGCAAGUCGAACGGACCCAUAGGGGUUAGUGGCGGACGGGUGAGUAACACGUGGGACCGUGCCUUUAGGUUCGGAAUAGCUCCUGGAAACGGGUGGUAAUGCUGAAUGUGCCCUUCGGGGGAAAGGUUUAUCGCCUUUAGAGCGGCCCGCGUCUGAUUGGGUAGUUGGUGAGGUAAUGGCUCACCAAGGCGACUAUCACUAGCUGGUCUGGGGGGAUGACCAGCCACAUUGGAACUGGGACACGGCCCAAACUCCUGCGAGAGGCAGCAGUUGGGAAGCUUGCGCAAUGGGCGAAAGCCUGACGCAGCCAUUCCGCGUGAAUGAUGAAGGUCUUAGGAUUGUAAAAUUCUUUCACCGGGGACGAUAAUGACGGUACCCGGAGAAGAAGCCCCGGCUAACUUCGUGCCAGCCGCCGCAGUAAAAC
rnacentral:rRNA from 1 species